CCUACGUGAGGCAGCAGUAGGGAAUCUUCCACAAUGGGCGAAAGCCUGAUGGAGCAACGCCGCGUGGGUGAAGAAGGUCUUCGGAUCGUAAAACCCUGUUGUUAGAGAAGAAAGUGCGGGAGCGUAACUGUUCACGUUUCGACGGUAUCUAACCAGAAAGCCACGGCUAACUACGUGCCAGCAGCAGCGGUAAUACGUAGGUGGCAAGCGUUAUCCGGAUUUAUUGGGCGUAAAGGGAACGCAGGCGGUCUUUUAAGUCUGAUGUGAAAGCCUUCGGCUUAACCGGAGUAGUGCAUUGGAAACUGGGAGACUUGAGGGCAGAAGAGGAGAGUGGAACUCCAUGUGUAGCGGUGAAAUGCGUAGAUAUAUGGAAGAACACCAGUGGCGAAAGCGGCUCUCUGGUCUGUAACUGACGCUGAGGUUCGAAAGCGUGGGUAGCAAACAGGAUUAGAUACCCUGGUAGUC
rnacentral:rRNA from 1 species